GUAAAAACAGCAGCCCAAUCUGCCAAAUACCAAGCCCAUACCCCAUUAUUACAUAUAUAAAAUGGUAUGGUUUCCUAUUCCACACAAUUCCUUUCUUUCCAAAAACCUUCACAUGCCCUAUGUUUCCGUAGCUCAACCCAACUGGUCCACCUUCUCCAUUGGAUUAUCAAUACUUCGCCCAUCAAUUCUUCCAUGAUUAUUAAGAAAGCUUUCAAAAUUGUGCUCUAUGGUAGAUGGAUUGAUGUGAAAUCACUUUUUGCUGAGGGUGCUUAUUCAAAUUUGCCGUAAUCCUUUACCAGGUUAGUAAAAAGACUCCCUUCUCUUUGAUUCACCUUUCUCUUCGGAUUAAUCCAUUUCUGCAGGUAGAAAAUGUAGUGAAGGUAAGGGAAGCUUCACACUUAUGCCAUAUGGUGAUGGACUCAUUCAGGUUUACCAUCGCCAGAUCUGACCCUAGCCCCUCCAUUUUUUGCCAAGUCCUUUUUGAAGGCUGUAUAUCUGUAGGCUAUUUAGCAAUUCACCUUUUUUGUUACCUAAGAGGCAACUAUAAAAAAGUAAAUAUGCUAUGUGAAGAAACUUAUGUUGUAGCCUGCCUAGCCCCUUCAUCCCUUGAUUGAUGAAACUCUUAAGUAUGGGCUUAUUAAUUUAUGACUGUUUAUGA